rnacentral:rRNA from 1 species
AACGAACGCUGGCGGCAUGCCUAACACAUGCAAGUCGAACGAAGGCUUCGGCCUUAGUGGCGCACGGGUGCGUAACGCGUGGGAAUCUGCCCUUUGGUUCGGAAUAACAGCUGGAAACGGCUGCUAAUACCGGAUGAUGACGAAAGUCCAAAGAUUUAUCGCCAGAGGAUGAGCCCGCGUUGGAUUAGGUAGUUGGUGGGGUAAAGGCCUACCAAGCCGACGAUCCAUAGCUGGUCUGAGAGGAUGAUCAGCCACACUGGGACUGAGACACGGCCCAGACUCCUGCGGGAGGCAGCAGUGGGGAAUAUUGGACAAUGGGCGCAAGCCUGAUCCAGCAAUGCCGCGUGAGUGAUGAAGGCCGUAGGGUUGUAAAGCUCUUUUACCCGGGAAGAUAAUGACGGUACCGGGAGAAUAAGCCCCGGCUAACUCCGUG